ACUUAACACCACAUGAAAUUGAAGUUCAUGGAAUUCAAAGACGAGGCCCAAGAGGCAGCAGCAAAGGUCAGCAUCUCCACCACCCCAUCAGGUCUUGCCCAUGUUGACCCAGGUGCUGGGACAGGAGGCACACACUGAACUUACUGCUCCCGUUGACUUCUCAUCUGGUUCCAGCCAGGCUUUGAAGAGGGUCAGAAGGAUGGAAGACUUGGCCCCUCCUCUCUAGUAGUGUACACCAUGCCUGAGGAGACCACAUAUCAACAUGGAACAGCCCCGGUUAGGGCACAAGGGCGCUGGGGCCUGGACAGUCAUGCCAUGGGAGCUCAGUGGGAGGCUGGACUUAGGCUGAGGUGCGUGGGGAGAGCUUCCUGGACAGCUGGGAUCUAAGGAUGCUUAAAUCAUGGACAGGAAAGCAGCUGCAGCCUAACGAAGAGCAGGGGUGUUAGGAGGCUUCCCUAAAGUUCUGUGACCCUGUAGAACUGUUGCCACUGCUAUGGUCACUGCUGCAACUACAAGCACUGCAUCUGGCAUGGGAGCUUGAUGGACCAGAGCACAUGCAAAGAGGGCAUCGGAAAUCCCAGAAGGGUAUGCGGGACCUUGUACCCUGUGGGAUUCCCAUGCUUACUUCAGGCAAACAGUAAGCCAGUAAGUGGAUGGCUGGCAGAGCUUCCCCCAGACUCUGAGGCUCUCAAACCCAUCUUUCGUGCAGAGAGAAUUGUGUGGUUAUCAUCCCCAGAACUCACCUGCUGAGUAAUUCGAUGCGAGUGAUUUGAUGUUCAGUCCCUCCUAGCAGGAGGCAGACCAGCAGGGAGUUACAGUUAACACUAACUGGGCAUGGCUAUUGAGGCAGGAGAGUAGGGUCUGGAGUCAGGCUGGUCACAGGCCAAGUCUUCAUUUGCAGAGGAGUAUAACUUUGUAAGUUCACUUCAGCCUCUGAUUGGUCACUUUCUGCAAUCAAUCAGACAUUUGCAUAGGGUGUAACUUUGUAUCUUCACUUCAGCCUCUGAUUAGUUGCUUUCUGCAAUCAAUCAGACUGAUCGUGGGCCACUAUUUCAUUUACAUAGGGUGUAAACCAAGUAACCAAUGGAAAACCUCUAGAGGGUAUUUAAACCCCAGAAAAUUCUGUAACCAAAGCUCUUGAGCUGCUUGCUCGAGCCCCCUCCCACUCUGUGUCGCGUACUUUUGUUUCAAUAAAUCUGUGCUUUUCUUUUGUUGCUUUGUUUGUGCUUUUUGUCCAAUUCUUUGUUCAAAAUGCAAAGAACCUAGACAGUUAUGACUUUUUGUUUUCAUUGUCCUUUUUCCAAAAUUGUAUCUGAGGGGAGACUUCCUGGGCUCUGUUAAGAUCAAGCACAUCUGCCUUCAGGGAUGAUGGGCUUGAGGCAAAUACUCAAAGCCACCUGAGGGUCCUCUUGUCCACUGUGUCUAUUCCAUCAAGGAGCACACAUUUGGAGCUGGGGAAGAGCAUGGUCCAUCUUGGUGUCAGAGAGGAGGCUACUGUCCUGGCUGAACCAGAGGGAUUGCCAAGAGAACAGGAAAAAUCGAGCCUAUGGCAUGAAAGGGCAGCUGUGGUGAACUGUUUGCGCAGACCAAUGUGUCAGUAGUGUCUACCUGGGUCAAAAGACACCUCUGGUCUUUCUUUAACCUGUCUCCUUGCCUUCAGGAUGCUACCUCUACCCAAAUGCUGCUGCCCCUGAUAUCUUCCUAAGAACAGAUCUAAUCAUGUCACCAUUCUGCCAGCACCCCGGGAAGGCUCAGGGUCACAUAUCAAAACAAGUUCAGGACUUCUAGCAUUAUGGCAGAUGGCCUUCCCAUGAAAAAAAAACAUAGAAAUGUUGGGUAAACGAUAACAACAAAAGUUUUUUUUAAUGUGUGCUGUCUUUAAACAAAAUAAAAGGAAAUCCUCACGUGGUAGAAAUGGAAGAGAGAAACCACAGCCAAAGCAGUAAGUAUAAGCUGGAAACCUAGAGCCCAUGGAAAUUGCAGAGGAGCCAAAUUUAGGCUCUAGAGACUGGGCUGAAAUUAAAGCACCUGUGUGAGAAUAGGACAUGUGGCCUUAGGCUUGCUUGGAGGAGAGAAAAUGGUUUUUUCAUUUGUUUGUUUUAAGACGGAGUCUCGCACUGUUGC
rnacentral:lncRNA from 1 species